GAAGGACCUUUUCUGGAGAUCUGCUCUGCUGGUGUUUUGUAAGUGAGCCCAGGAUACAGGCUCUUCCACUCAUGAGGAGUUCAGUGAUUUUGCAUCUCUUCUUCUUGAUCCAACAACCAACUUUCCUAUAAUUUCUCAGAUUUGACUUUAAUAGAGUCAAUUAUCAGCUAAGAAUACGAGAAGUAUAGGACGUGAUCAGGCAUAUGGAGAUCAGAUCCACUUCUACAAUCAAGACACUCUGCCAUUAUUGACAGGGAUUUUACUACAAGAAAUCUUCCAGAAAGAAGACUCCAAAUGGGAGAAAGAUGUCAGAGAUCAAACACUUAUAGUGAAGCAGGGCUAUCUUCACUCUGGGUCUCCUGAGAUUCUUAUGUCUUCUUGUGAUACCAAAUUUGGAACUUGUUUUGUAGAGUACCUCACUCGGAGUUACCUUUUACUUCAUUCUCAUCCACUCUAUUCAAUAAAUAAUAACAAUAGUAAAAUGUAUCUUGCUGUUUUAACCUUCACAACCACAUUAAUAAUGUUUUCCUUCUUUGCUACAGCAGGAAUAGUGACUUUUGUGGUUCUGACCGUUCAGACCAUGGUAGAGAUAUAACAACAUCUUCUCCAAGCUGUCCACAGUCACUGCACACCAACCAGGCAGUUCCAAAAGCAGCUUCAUUCCUUAGUUACUUCAAAUGCCUGGAAACUACUAUAAUGCAACAGGAUAUUAACAUCCUGCAAAACUAAGACCUUCCCUGGAGCUCUGAGUUGUAGGUGUGAAUACUCAUGUCAGAAACUGUGGGGUGAGGACAAAGAAAAGUUCUGUGAAACUUUUCAUUGAACAUGUUAGUGCUUUGACUUUCUUGAAAUGGAACAAAUCUAAAAUCUGUCCUCAGUGACAGAAGAGACAAAUCUGGACUUCCUAGAGAGCAGUAUAUGAUGUACAUUCCUUUUUCUUUCAUGAUGGGAGUUGACAGAGUGUAUUGUAUUUUUGAAUAGUCAUUUCCUGAAAGUAAUAGCAAAAAUGGGAAAAAGAAAUGAAUUUUCCUAUCCUGAAAGAAAGUUGAAGCUGAGAUCCAUGUGCAGUUGUUAAAUGGCAAAAUGUUAACAGUAAAUAAGCACUAUUCAGAAUUCUUAAUAAAAUUUCAAUAGUUUAUAAAUCUGACUUGAAAUACAGUGAAGCUUUAAGUCUUUGGGACAUUUUUCUGUUGCUCCUAUUUAAAUUAAGAAAAGGCAAUUUAAUAGUUAUACAUGUUUAUUAUAUAUGUGUGCAUAGCUAUUCUGUUAUAUAAUCCUUUCAACAACUGCCUAUUUUCCAUUUGUUAUCCAUGAAAACACUCUCACAGAUCUGUGAAUGCAGAUUUGAAAAUCAACUUGAAAGGAAAAAAAAAAAAAGAAAUGUUCUUUUUAUGUUAAUCUUUCUACAUACCUUUGGACAGGUUUUGAAGUG